UACGUAGGGGGCAAGCGUUGUCCGGAUUUCUUGGGCGUAAAGAGCUCGUAGGUGGUUCGGUAAGUCGGAUGUGAAAUCUCCAGGCUCAACCUGGAGGGGUCAUUCGAUACUGCCGUGACUAGAGGUCGGUAGGGGAGUGUGGAAUUCCUGGUGGAGCGGUGAAAUGCGCAGAUAUCAGGAGGAACACCCGUAGCGAAGGCGGCACUCUGGACCUGUCCUGACGCUCAGGCGCGAAAGCUAGGGGAGCGAACAGG
rnacentral:rRNA from 1 species